rnacentral:rRNA from 1 species
GGUAUGUAAAGCUCUAUCAGCAGGGAAGAAAAAAAUGACGGUACCUGANUAAGAAGCCCCGGCUAAUUACGUGCCAGCAGCCGCGGUAAUACGUAGGGGGCAAGCGUUAUCCGGAUUUACUGGGUGUAAAGGGAGCGCAGGCGGUGCGGCAAGUCUGAUGUGAAAGCCCGGGGCUCAACCCCGGGACUGCAUUGGAAACUGUCGUACUUGAGUAUCGGAGAGGUAAGUGGAAUUCCUAGUGUAGCGGUGAAAUGCGUAGAUAUUAGGAGGAACACCAGUGGCGAAGGCGGCUUACUGGACGAUAACUGACGCUGAGGCUCGAAAGCGUGGGGAGCAAACAGGAUUAGAUACCCUGGUAGUCCACGCCGUAAA